UUGCAUCCACCCAUAGACCAUGCACAGUUUGCUGUUCGUCUUUUGGUUUGCACUAGGAUGCAAAGAGAAAAAACUCCCAGUGCUUUUUGUCUGUCUCUGGCAACCAGAUUAAAUAAGGAAGAAUAUCU
ensembl:snoRNA